UACGUAGGGACCAAGCGUUGUUCGGAUUUACUGGGCGUAAAGGGCGCGUAGGCGGCAUGACAAGUCACUUGUGAAAUCUCUGGGCUUAACUCAGAACGGCCAAGUGAUACUGUCGUGCUAGAGUGCGGAAGGGGCUACUGGAAUUCUCGGUGUAGCGGUGAAAUGCGUAGAUAUCGAGAGGAACACCUGCGGCGAAGGCGGGUAGCUGGGCCGACACUGACGCUGAGGCGCGAAAGCCAGGGGAGCGAACGGG
rnacentral:rRNA from 1 species